rnacentral:rRNA from 1 species
UACAGAGGGUGCGAGCGUUGUCCGGAAUCACUGGGCGUAAAGGGCGCGUAGGCGGCUUGGUAAGUAGGGGGUGAAAUCUUGCGGCUCAACUGCAAGGCUGCCUCCUAAACUGCCUGGCUGGAGCACGGUAGAGGCAGAUGGAAUUCCCGGUGUAGCGGUGGAAUGCGUAGAGAUCGGGAGGAACACCAGUGGCGAAGGCGACUUCCUGGCCUGUUCUUGACGCUGAGGCGCGAAAGCUAGGGGAGCAAACGGG